GAUGAACGCUGGCGGCGUGCUUAACACAUGCAAGUCGAACGGAAAGGCCCAAGCUUGCUUGGGUACUCGAGUGGCGAACGGGUGAGUAACACGUGGGUGAUCUGCCCUGCACUUCGGGAUAAGCCUGGGAAACUGGGUCUAAUACCGGAUAGGACCACAUUUUGGAUGGUGUGGUGGAAAGUUUUUCGGCGUGGGAUGAGCUCGCGGCCUAUCAGCUUGUUGGUGGGGUAAUGGCCUACCAAGGCGUCGACGGGUAGCCGGCCUGAGAGGGUGUACGGCCACAUUGGGACUGAGAUACGGCCCAGACUCCUACGGGAGGCAGCAGUGGGGAAUAUUGCACAAUGGGCGCAAGCCUGAUGCAGCGACGCCGCGUGGGGGAUGACGGCCUUCGGGUUGUAAACUCCUUUCGCUAGGGACGAAGCGCAAGUGACGGUACCUGGAGAAGAAGCACCGGCUAACUACGUG
rnacentral:rRNA from 1 species